rnacentral:rRNA from 1 species
AACGAACGCUGGCGGCGUGGCUAAGACAUGCAAGUCGAACGGACCAGUCAAUCGGGUAACUGAAAGAUUGGUUAGUGGCGAAAGGGUGAGGAAUAGAUAGAUAACGUACCUUGUGCUUCAGAAUAGCGUCAUACCCGCAAGGGUAUUUCCGAAAGGGGCGGUAAUGCUGAAUAAAGUAACGAAUCGUAUGGUUUGUUACCAAAGAUUUAUCGGCGCAAGAGCGGUCUAUCUCCUAUCAGCUAGUUGGUGAGGUAAUGGCUCACCAAGGCGAUGACGGGUACCGGGGCUGAGAGGUUGGCCCGGCACAUCGGAACUGAGACACUGUCCGGACCUCCACGGAGGGCUGCAGUAACGAAUAUUGGGCAAUGGGCGAAAGCCUGACCCAGCGACGCCGCGUGUGGGAGGAAGUCCCUCGGGAUGUAAACCACUGUCAGGGUGAAGAAAGACCGCAAGGUUUGAUCUAACCCAGAGGAAGCAACGGCUAACUUCGUGCCAGCAGCCGCGGUAAUACGAAGGUUGCAAGCGUUGUUCGGAAUCACUGGGCUUAAAGCGCAUGUAGGCGGACAGGAAAGCGUUUUGUGAAAUCCCUCGGCUUAACCGAGGAAUUGCUUGGCGAACUUCCUGUCUUGAGGCAAGUAGGGGUGCAUGGAACUCUUGGUGGAGCGGUGGAAUGCGUAGAUAUCAAG